GAUGAACGCUGGCGGCGUGCCUAACACAUGCAAGUCGAGCGAAAGCACGAGAAGUUUGCUUCCCUGAUGUUAGCGGCGGACGGGAGCUUACCAUGUGGAUAACCUACCUAUAAGACUGGGAUACCUUCGGGAAACCGUAGCUACUACCGGAUAAUAUUUUGAACUGCAUGGUUCACACGUGAAAGACGCUCUUUCUGUCACUUAUAGCUGGAUCCGCGCUGCAUUAGUUAGUUGGUAAGGUAACGGGUUACCAAGGCAACGAUGCAUAGCCGACCUGAGAGGGUGGACGGCCACACGGGAUGUGAGGCACGGUCGCGACUCCGACGGGAGGCAACAGUAGGGAAUCUUCCGCGAUGGGCGAAAGCCUGAUGGAGCAACGCCGCGGGAGUGAUGAAGGUCUACGGAUGGGAGAGCUCUGUAAGUAGUGAGGAAGAUAUGUGUAAUUAACUGUGCAGAUCUUGACGGUACCGAGACAAAAAGCCACGGCUAACUACGUG
rnacentral:rRNA from 1 species